GUUCUUCUGGACCUAGGAGAGAACGAAGAUGCAAGUACCUGGCACGUGUCAACGUGAAGAUUUUAUGCUGGUCGUUUUCUGCUGCUUACAAGAUUAAUUGGUGCAUUAAGAGCUGGAGUUGAGCUUCUUUGGGUAUGUUAAUGCAAGACUUGCUGCUGGAGGCUGUCUGGGAAAUGUCCCUGUCCCUGCAAGGAGGUGUCUGGCCACCAGCUGUGUCACUGGUACCGUGGUGGGAGCGCUCCCUGAGGAGGUGAGGCCUUCUCCUGUCCCGGCUCCCUGGCCUUUCCUCGUCGCCGCCCCCGAACCCCUCUGUCCUUCGGCUUCUUGAGGCUCCGAGCCUCAGGUUUUUCCCCUUUCUCGUCCUUGCUGCCUCUCUCCUCCCAGUCCCACUUCCUCUGAGGGGAUUCCUCAGGACGCAUCCCACACUCGGCCCCCCUGCGCCCUGGAUAGCUCAGCCUUACCCAGCACCGCAGCUGGACAAUGGUGACUGCCACAAUUACUCCCUGCGCCUGCCCUGCCUUUCCCCUGUCCCCAUGCCUGCCUGCCCCGUCUGCUGCCGGGGGGCUGGUGCCCGGCCCGCAGCCUCUGAGCCGCAUCCGCCGCCUCCUGCUUUCUCCAGGCGCUCUUCUCGCCGCCUCCGUGGCCCGGGUCCGGACGGCCUGAAUUCCCCACAGCCCGGUCGGUGCUUCCUGCCCGCUGGCGCGAGGCCGCCGGGGCGCGGAGCCAGGAGGCCGCCUUUGCCCGGGGAGCUGGUGCAGCCGCAGGCCCGAGCCCGAGCCCUCCCCCCGCAGCACGGCCGCUGCCAAAAUCCACAGAUUUGUCCUUUCUUUCCUGGUGCUAGUUAGGAAAAAAGGGGCACGGUCGGUACUGAUGUGGGGGGUUGGCAGCUCCGAAAGACCAACUUUGUGUUUGCUGGGAGGCUGAUGCUCCUGCUUCGCUUGGUCACCGGGGGCUCCCGCCAGCAGCGAUGGAGGUGCCGCCUGGCAGAGGUGAUGGGAAUACUAAGAAUAAAACUUGCUUGCCCCUUUAUUGUCAUAUAUUUUGUCCUGCGCAGAACUGAUGCGGACUUUUAAAUCCAUGCAAGACCUUUGCAGCAACCUCCCUUCUGCACUUGUUGACCUACCAUGGCUUUGGUGGUUUAUUUUCACUGCUGCUGUGAGUAGGACCGGUACAGUGCCAACGUGAAGAAGUGAGACCAAAUAUCUGCCUUUCUAAAGAUGAGGCCAAAAGGUCAUUAAAGACACCUGGUUGCUAUGGGAACCCCAGCAAGAGCUUCUCAAACAAAUUGGAAAUCAGGACUUCGUGAUACCCAGCAAGCCCAGCCUGGAUGGGUGGGAGAAUAUGAUGUAUCCGAACCUGAAUUAUCUCCCUUCCCUGGGAUACUUACUGCUGCCUCAAUUUCACAAAUCAUUAACGCCGCAUUGCUUCAGGUUUAUAGCAUCUCCCGAUGCCAUUUUAAAAUACUUGCGAAGGGGAUAAUGAGUCAGAUGCACUGCGACCAGAAGUGGCCUCGGCUGAACCACCCUUGGUGGAGCUGCACUCCCGUGUCUGCGCAAUCAUCCCAGUGCACCUACAUAAUCAGAAUAAAAAUGACUACCUAAAUAACGGUACUGCUCCGCUGGGAUUAUAUGGCACAUUCUGGAACGCAGAACAUCCUGGAAAUAUGAAUUCACACUAUUUAUUUAAGCAAAAGCGAAAGAUCUUUGACUGGCUGGGAGCAGGACUUACCUAAUGCAGAACAGCUUAGAUACCCAAUAAAAAAUGAUUCUUGGAUUAAAAUAUUAGAAAGUCUAGGUAAAAAUGACCUCAUCUUAGUGAGAUUGUGACAUGAAGUCACCCAAGUUUAAUGGAUUGUUUCCUGAGCUGAGCUCUGGCUGGUGCCCUGGCCACCCCGGCAGCGCCCAGUCCAGCUGAAAAGUGAGUUUACCGCAGAGGUGUUGCGGGGCAUGUCCGAAAAGGCAAAAGCAGCUGAAUUUCCUGACAUGGCCAUAAGCCAUGCGAUACUGAAGUACUCCUGGAGACUAAACAAACCUGAGCAGGGUGGCUCUGUAGCUGUCUCGUCCCCACAGUGCUGGUCACUGCCUUGGUGAGGGGUAAGGCUUGGGGAGGAUGCUGACAGGGCUUGGGGGACUCACAGACUGCUUUUUAAUCAACCAGUUUGAUUUCAGAAAUUUGCAAUCAAGCUGCUCCUCUCCACCCCUACCUUC